GCAGUAGCUCAGUGGUAGAGCACUGGUUUACAUGCAGGAAGUUCCAGGUUCAAUCCCUGGCACCUCCA